rnacentral:piRNA from 1 species
UAGAUGUGAAAUUAGAUUUUUGCGACCAU